ensembl:lncRNA LINC01911 long intergenic non-protein coding RNA 1911
AUAACAGCUGAGGCCAUUCUAGAAUAGGCAGCUUUAGCCAACCAGGCAGCUGACUGCAGAUACAGGCCUGCAUCCAGAUGAGUCCAGAAAAGCAACCUAGACACUACUGGCAAAGACAUUGAAAAGAAUCACACUGCUAAACCAGUAGCAGCUUUUAUCUUCUUCUCAGAUUGUAUACAUGCAGGAUAAAAGUGUUUCUAACACAUAGACUUCUAUAUUCCAGCAUAAAGAUGUAUUAGGCGCAUUUAUACUUUUACAUCGAAGCCUGUUUCAACAUGAACGGAGCCCAGGGAAGUUGGUGACUUAAUCCUCGUUAUACCCUGAUUUUGGACAAAUUUUACAAGAAGAAUAGGACUUCUACUUCUCUAUGUCUACAUGCACCUGGAACAGUGCUAGGUCUAUGCUUACAAAUUGAUUGGUUCAGGUCACCGCCAUGAGCCUCAGGACAGAAAAUUGCCGGAUAUGAGAGAGAGAGAGAGAUUUGACUGGGCUAAGAAAGAAAUGAACACGAUUUAGAGAUGGAAAUGGUGACAUAUGGGCCUUUGAAGCCUCCCAUGUUCCAGAGAAGGUGAGGUUUCACCAUGUUAGUCAGGAUGGUCUCGAUCUCCUGACCUCGUGACCUGCCCAGCUCGGCCUCCCAAAGUGCUGGGAUUACAGGCAUGAGCCAUUGCGCCUAACCUCAGAAACCAUUUUUAUAACCUCAAUACCUAAUAGAAACUGGCACAUGGCCCCUGUGAGCUGUGACUGCAAGAGUCAGCACCUAAAUUAGAUCAACACUACAACAUCAAAAAGGUAGAGGGGUUUUAUGAGCCAUAAAGUCAGACUCUGAGCUAUGAUACCUUCAUUUACACACUGCUUUUAAAAUAUUCUAAGUAUCUGACGUAUUUGACACCAAAACCUUUUUAAAUGCUAUUCUUUUGAUUUUCCAAUACAAUUCAAACAUUAUACAA